CUGGGCAAGAUUCACCGUGACCGGCCUUCUUUAAUACACCGGGCCUAGCAUCGCUUCUUGAAACAAUGCAAAACGUGGAUAGGCCACCUAUAAGCGCAAUACCAGCUACCAGGCCUUAGGUUUCAGUUACAGAAUACGGCAUUCAGCCAAGUUGGUCUUGCGGCAGUCCGUAAGUAUGUGAUGAUCAGCUGGAAUUUGGAGCAUGACAGCGCAUGUACUGCUGUAGUGCCAGAGCUUUAUUCAGUAUUAGCAAAUAUAAAUUUUAUCAAUACGGUUUACAUUUAUUAAGUUAAAAUCUUCACUACUAUGUUGCUUAGGUGAUUUCCAAUAUAGUUCAUUUUUUAGAAUUACCCUCCACCUGGUGAAUUUUUUGUUUUUUCAAUGAAAGUCUUGGGACGAGAGCUAAGCGUCAACUACUUAUUUUCUGCGCUAAAUUAGCGGUAUAUAAGGCUUCGCAUUCAAGUUUAGGUUGUGGAACAGUGUGCUCUUGUAGUUUGGAAGACGUGGGCAUUCGAUGAUGAGCGUCACUGUUCCCGCAAAGCUGAAAGACAAAGCUUAAACCGUGUUCUAGAGGAGAACGUUGUCAGGACAUCAGGUUGUGUAUGCCACGUCCACACGAAGUCGAGGGGUUGCAAGAAUAGCAGAGGCUCCCGGGCAUGCAGGUCGCGGAGGAGAUGGCCAAUUCGCGGUGUGAUACAUGAUCGUGGCUGUUGCGUGCUUUCGAGUGAUAUUGCGGAUGUCCAGAGGCCGAAGGGACGGUUCAUCAAUGGUGAAGUACUUCCAAUUUCAUCAUGUGCUUGGUCCGUAGAAGCAUAGAUCUAGCGUAACAGGUUGUCGGAAGAUGACACCUUUCCUUGGGUGAAUACGGAUAUAAUAAUUUUUCAUUCUCGUAAACUUACAAAAAAAAAUCAUUUUUUUAAAUUUUUGUUUUGUUUUUUGUCCUUUAUAGGAUUGACAGUAUUUUUCUUGUGCUGAUUCUAAACGUAAAAGUUUGAUAUAUUUGUAGCUCUUUAUAGGCUGCAACGAGCGUCUCAGUAGAUAAAAGUAGCCUAUUUACCACGACUUUAUCAAGCUUCCUAGUCACCCUCGUUACAUUGAGUUAAAGCUGAAAUUUGAGUUAAAGCUGAAAUUAGAGUUAAAUAGCCCUUGUGGCCUAAUGAAUAAGGCACCGGCCUCCUAAGCCGGGGAUUGCGAGUUCGAGUCUCGCCAGAGGUAUAACGAAAUGUAUAUAUAUUCAUAGCAAUGUGAUUCCACUCGGAUUACCACAGAUUUGAGCAAAUAUUCCGUUUUUCAGCAGAAAAUUGUUUUCGGGAAAUUAUCAUUUUGUUUAAUGGAGUUUUUUAGUUUUUUCUUAAGUUACUUCUAAAUAAAAAUAUUUAACGAACGUAUUUUAGCAACUAUGAAAGAGCUUUCCGUUGUUUAGAUGGCCGUUUAGCUACAGAUUUAGGUUCUUGAACUGAUGCUUUCUGUCCCUUUACAGGUUUCCCUUUAGGCGGUGAGGUAGGUGGCAUGGAAUUCCGGGAAGCACCAUGGCUCUCAUGCAGGAGUUCUUCUACGAAACUCAGUGGAUCGAAUUCUUCCGAAAAUGACUCCUGAGCAACCGAAGUCAUUUUCUUUGCACUCUUCUUUUUCGCUGUUGCUGAGGUCUUCAUGGUAGCUUCCGGAUUAGGUACCUAAGAAUUCAUCAUGAAUCAAAAUAGCCAAGAACACACAUUGUAAUCGACUUACAUCAAUGUCGCCGUUUUCCGACGAUUUUGUUUUGCUUCUGUUUUCCUUCGAUUUGUUUACCUUGAUGUUCUUCUUUGGCGAUGAUUUCUUGUCCAUCGCGGAUGACUCGCCAAGAGGCUUUGACCCAGCUUUGAAUUUUGAACGUUUCGUAGAGGUUAUAUCUUUCGAUUUACCCUCCGUGCUGUCAUCGCCAGAAUAUUUCAACAUAAUUUCUUCGACGGAAAGUGCGACAUCUAUUGGCUCUUCGGAAAUUUUUGCUUUUUUUGACGGGCGUGAAUCCGUAGACAAUUUGCGUCGAGUUACUUUCGCCUUUGGCUUUUCUGUACCAGGCGUUGCCAUAGAAGUGAAACUUCUAGAUUCAGCAAGGAUUUUUUCGAUAAGUGCAUCAGCAGAUACAGAAUCUGAGGAAUUCAAUUCGUUUGAAGUGGGUAGCUCUUUUUUUCCGUUAGAAAUGGUUUUUGUCGAUUUCUUUGUUUUUGAUUUUUUGCCGGUAGAUUGUGUUUUCUUUGCAGGAAAAUUUUCAGAGGAACACUUUGCCGUUGUAUUUUCUUCGAGAGAAACAGUAUCAGCAACCUUGCUUUUGACUGGUGCUUUCUUACGCGGUAGGGCUUUUGAAGCUGAAACGCGUGAUUCGUUGUCAGAUUCCGAUAUAAAAUUGGGAUCUCUUACUCGAGUGUGACAUUUCCUCGCUGUCGAUUCGAUACGAGAUUUUUUCGGCUUUGGCUUAGAAGGUUCCUGUGCAGAAGGUAAGAGCACUUCCGUAGUUUCAACAUCAGCAACACGGUUCGUCUCACUCACAGAUAUUUCCUGGAGAGCAGAAACUGAAUCCACUUUUUUGGCAUUACCAAUUUGUCGUUUCCUUUUUGCGAACAGUAUUAACAGUUUCUGGCAUUGCUUCAACUUCUGGAUUUGUAAUGUCAGAAUGGGUACGUGACGCUUUGCUAUGUGUGACGGGUCCUGGCGUAGGCAAACGCUUCGAACUAGAAGUUGAAGGCAAAAAACAUCUUGUAAUGUCCGCGAUUCUUCUUGCGCACUUUCCUCCAAAACCUUCCAUCCGCCUAAAAUGGAAGAUUUGCGGUUACUACUUUGCGUGGUAUCCCUUUUACCAUUUUUCGACGAAGAGCUAUCCGACAAAGACUUUUCUCUGGUUUUAGUCAAAAAUUUUUUUUUGGCUGUAGUCUUCCCAAUUGCGAAGAAUUGGAAUCGUUAGUGCUCUUUGCCUUGUGUACUAGUUUAGACGUAGAACCAGCUAUUGGCAGUGGAGCUGAAAAAUGCGGAUUGGGUGGUUUUCGUUGAUGAACAGCUGAGUCGAUUUUUUCUUCUUAAAAGUACCAAAAUGCGAAAUAAAUUAAAACUGUUAGAAAAAAAUCGAUUGAGAAUCUAAAUAAAUAAGGGAUUACCUUCGCCUUCACUGCACGAAGCGAACAUGUCAGGACUUGAAGCCCCGAAAUCCCGAGAAAAGCCUGCCAAACACAUGCGGCAUUACAUUACGCAUCAACGAAAAAAAAAACUAGAAGUAAUUACUUCUGUUUAGAUUAGAACCGAAAGACAGCUCUGGACGGUCGGUGUUUUCUUCCAAUACACACGCGUAGCUGCUUAGCUGAAUACCAGAUGUUGCGCUGUAAUUCUGGCUAGUUCUUUUGACUAAUGUUUCUUGAGGGAUUUCGAUUUCUUCUUCGACCACAUACUCCUCUUCUUCUUGUUCCAUACUGCUGGGCUUCAUGGCAGUAUUAGCGCAAUACAUGUCAACAUCGAGCUUUUUUAUAACUCGAUUGAUAUUCUCGGCAAUGUCAUCUGUUGAGCUAUUGCUACGAACGCUGAAACCUGUGACAGAAUCAUGUUAAACACAAAAAUAUAUGUCAUACACAAUUAAAUUCAAUACUUA
rnacentral:tRNA from 1 species